rfam:Salmo salar isolate Sally breed double haploid chromosome ssa12, whole genome shotgun sequence.
AAUGCACCAAUUUGUAAGUCGCUCUGGAUACGAGCGUCUGCUAAAUGACGUAAA